UCAGGCCUAACACAUGCAAGUCGAGCGGAUGAGUGGAGCUUGCUCCAUGAUUCAGCGGCGGACGGGUGAGUAAUGCCUAGGAAUCUGCCUGGUAGUGGGGGAUAACGUUUCGAAAGGAACGCUAAUACCGCAUACGUCCUACGGGAGAAAGUGGGGGAUCUUCGGACCUCACGCUAUCAGAUGAGCCUAGGUCGGAUUAGCUAGUUGGUGGGGUAAUGGCCCACCAAGGCGACGAUCCGUAACUGGUCUGAGAGGAUGAUCAGUCACACUGGAACUGAGACACGGUCCAGACUCCUACGGGAGGCGGCAGUGGGGAAUAUUGGACAAUGGGCGAAAGCCUGAUCCAGCCAUGCCGCGUGUGUGAAGAAGGUCUUCGGAUUGUAAAGCAAUUGAAGUUGGGAGGAAGGGCAGUAAGUUAAUACCUUGCUGUUUUGA
rnacentral:rRNA from 1 species